rnacentral:rRNA from 1 species
UACGUAGGGCGCAAGCGUUGUCCGGAAUUAUUGGGCGUAAAGAGCUCGUAGGCGGUCUGUCGCGUCGGCUGUGAAAACCCGAGGCUCAACCUCGGGCCUGCAGUCGAUACGGGCAAACUAGAGUACUGCAGGGGAGACUGGAGUUCCUGGUGUAGCGGUGAAAUGCGCAGAUAUCAGGAGGAACACCGGUGGCGAAGGCGGGUCUCUGGGCAGUAACUGACGCUGAGGAGCGAAAGCGUGGGGAGCGAACAGG